rnacentral:rRNA from 1 species
UACGUAGGGUCCGAGCGUUGUCCGGAUUCAUUGGGCGUAAAGAGCUCGUAGGCGGUUCCGUAAGUCGGAUGUGAAAACUCAGGGCUCAACCCGGAGACGCCAUCCGAUACUGCGGUGACUGGAGUCUGGUAGGGGAUCACGGAAUACCUGGUGUAGCGGUGAAAUGCGCAGAUAUCAGGUGGAACACCGAUGGCGAAGGCAGUGAUCUGGGCCAGUACUGACGCUGAGGAGCGAAAGCGUGGGGAGCAAACAGG